GAUGAAGAACGCAGCGAAAUGUGAUACUUGGUGUGAAUUGCAGAAUCCCGUGAACCAUCGAGUCUUUGAACGCAAGUUGCGCCCGAAGCCAUUAGGCCGAGGGCACGCCUGCCUGGGCGUCACACGUCGUUGCCCCCCCAUCUACUCCUUCGGGAUUGCGGGGGGCGGAUGAUGGCCUCCCGUGCGCCUAGUCGCGCGGUUGGUAUAAAAGCCAAGUCCUCGGCGACGCACGCCACGACAAUCGGUGGUUGCGAAACCUCGGUUGCCCGUCGUGUGCGGUCGUCGCGCAUCGAGGGCUCGAAAAAAUUGCCGGGCUCCGGCUCGGCUUUCAACGCGACCCCAGGUCAGGCGGGGUUACCCGCUGAAUUUAAGCAUAUCAAUAAGCGGAGGA
rnacentral:misc_RNA from 1 species